AGCAGCCGCGGUAAUUCCAGCUCCAAUAGCGUAUAUUAAAGUUGCUGCAGUUAAAAAGCUCGUAGUUGAAUUUCGGGACCAAUAUGUCGGUCGUGCCUCGGUACGUACUGGCAUCGUUGGUUUCUCCCUUCUGACGAACCAUGAUGUCAUUUAUUUGGUGUCGUGGGGAAUCAGGACUGUUACUUUGAAAAAUUAGAGUGUUUAAAGCAGGCUCACGCUUGAAUACAUUAGCAUGGAAUAAUGAAAUAGGACGUUUGAUUCUAUUUUGUUGGUUUCUAGGAUCGACGUAAUGAUUAAUAGGGGUAGUUGGGGGCAUUAGUAUUCAAUUGUCAGAGGUGAAAUUCUUGGAUUUAUUGAAGACUAACUACUGCGAAAGCAUUUGCCAAGGAUGUUUUCAUUAAUCAAGAACGAAAGUUAGGGGAUCGAAGACGAUCAGAUACCGUCGUAGUCUUAACCAUAAACUAUGCCGACUAGGGAUCGGAUGAUGUUAAUUUUUUAAUGACUCAUUCGGCGCCUUAAC
rnacentral:rRNA from 1 species